UAGUUUUAUGUACAGAAGUCAAUCGUGAGUUCCUGAAACAGUUAUAUGAGUCUCUCUGUGCUGAAUUAACUUGCUUGAAUUAGAGAAGAUCCUAACCCCAUGUGCUAUGUGAAUGCUCUAAUAUCACAUUCAGUCCAUGUGAUGAUCUAUUAUUCCACACAUACAAAAAUCAAAAUAUGACAAAAGCGUGCCACCAAGGGGUAGUUUGGAUGCACAUAAUCAUUCACUCAAAGAAUUUGAUAGAUACUGAAGGCUUCCGCAGUUUUGAUGCCAUAAGUAUGGUGGAAAAUGCCUUCCAUAAAAAUUGAGUAUAUAGACUUCCAUGGAAACAACUGGCAUACUGUUAUCGUCUGAAGGAUUUCAGACAAGGUCCCUCUGAUCUUUCCUGCUGCAACCAUACUCCAGCAGAUGCAAUCCAAUGAUAUGUGGCCUGGAUUUCAGGAGAGCACAUUCACAUUGUUGGACUGCUGGAUCUUUUGCAUGUGGCUACUUUGGUACAUGUGCUAUGGCUAUUUGAAUUUUUCGAUCAUAAACAUGACUUCUAGAAGCUUUCAUCCAAACAAAAAACCUGAAAAUCCAUUGAACUCCAAUCUGGGCAUCCACAGGAAAUGAGAAAAAGAAAAAAGAAAAAGGAAAUACUAGAAUCCUUUCAACCCCUUGUUGAGAAGCUAAAGAUCCACCAUGAAACCAAAUUACCCCUAGGCCCUAGGACACAGUAGACAAAUCCAAAAACUCAUCACUGAUUUAUGUUAUGCUCCUUGAAUCCAGGCUUAAAAUGCCUACACUUGUGCAUUAAGAGAGUGGCCUCCAAGAAAGAGUUAGCCCAAUAUGCACUGAAAAUAUUCAAAACUUCUUGAGUGCAUUCUAGCCUUAGAGCUUUAUUUGAAUCCAACAGACCCCAAAAUUGCUAAUUUGGCCCUGCCUUUUAUCAUUUCUAAUUCCACCCUACAAACCGGCCUAGAUAUACAAGCUUCAUUGGCCCACGUUGCUUGAUGGGGUUCUGGAGCAGUAUGAAUUUAAUGCUGGAAAGGUAAAUUGUAGUUCCCCAUUUGCAUGCAAGAGAUGCAGGGUAAUCACUAAUUUCUUUCUUCCUCUUUUCUUCUUUUUUUGUUACUCUGAAUGAUGCAGCUCUGGUUUCCCCUCCAUUCAGUUCUUCAUCGUCAACCUUUUGGUAACAUUGUUCGUGAUAAUCUAUCUACCAUUUGAAGGCACGUGGCAACUCCAUUAUUUCUAUUUUGGUUAACUUGCUUGUUUGACAUAAUAUAUGACACAAAUUGAGAUUGCAGCUUAGAGGAGUUUGUUCAAACAGCUAGUGUAGGAGAAUUCAAGAAAUGCCUCGAACUUCUUGUUGCUUUUCGUGGACAGCUCAAUACCAGUAUCCGCUUGAAAGCUCAUUCAAGGUGGCGGUCGAUUUUACUGCUUCAUGGUGCGGGCCAUGCCGUUUCAUUGUCCCCAGCUGAGCUCGCCAAAAAAUUGCCUGAUGUUAUUUUUCUGAAGGUAGAUGAUGUCGACGAAUUGAAGGCGAAGGUGGGGAAGGCGGUUGUGUUGGAGAUCUUGAAGGAUCAAAAUGCCAGUGAUCCAGACUUUGGACAGAUUUGGGCCACAAUCGUCAAAAUGGAAUGCUUGUUAAUUUCCUUGUGCAGGAAGCUUUCUUAUUUUAGCUUGAAACUAAUGGUGUUUUAUGGAAAUAUAAAUUUUAUAUGUUUGGAAUUUCGAUGAUAUAUCCAAUUUUGA